UACGUAGGCAGCAAGCGUUGUUCGGAAUUACUGGGCGUAAAGAGUGUGUAGGCGGUGCUCUAAGUUCGGUGUGAAAUCUCCCGGCUCAACUGGGAGGGUGCGCCGAAAACUGGAGUGCUGGAGCGCGGGAGAGGAAAGCGGAAUUCCUGGUGUAGCGGUGAAAUGCGUAGAUAUCAGGAGGAACACCCGUGGCGAAGGCGGCUCUCUGGCCUGUAACUGACGCUGAGGCGCGAAAGCGUGGGGAGCAAACAGG
rnacentral:rRNA from 1 species